GUAGCCAUAUGAUGUUGAAACACUAGUUCUCGUAUGAUCAUCGAAGUUAAGCAAUGUCGAGCCUGGUCAGUACUUAGACGAGUGACCAUUUGUGAAUACCAGGUGCUGUAAG